CCUACGGGAGGCAGCAGUAGGGAAUCUUCCACAAUGGACGAAAGUCUGAUGGAGCAACGCCGCGUGAGUGAAGAAGGGUUUCGGCUCGUAAAGCUCUGUUGGUAGUGAAGAAAGAUAGAGGUAGUAACUGGCCUUUAUUUGACGGUAAUUACUUAGAAAGUCACGGCUAACUACGUGUCAGCAGCCGCGGUAAUACGUAGGUGGCAAGCGUUGUCCGGAUUUACUGGGUGUAAAGGGCGUGUAGCCGGGAAGGCAAGUCAGAUGUGAAAUCCGGAGGCUCAACCUCCGAAUUGCAUUUGAAACUGUUUUUCUUGAGUACUGGAGAGGCAGACGGAAUUCCUUGUGUAGCGGUGAAAUGCGUAGAUAUAAGGAGGAACACCAGUGGCGAAGGCGGUCUGCUGGACAGCAACUGACGGUGAGGCGCGAAAGCGUGGGGAGCAAACAGGAUUAGAUACCCCUGUAGUC
rnacentral:rRNA from 1 species